rnacentral:rRNA from 1 species
CAGCCGUAAACUAUGCGCGUUAGGUGUAUCGGUGACCACGAGUUACCGAGGUGCCGAAGGGAAACCGUGAAACGUGCCGCCUGGGAAGCACGGUCGCAAGGCUGAAACUUAAAGGAAUUGGCGGGGGAGCACCACAACAGGUGGAGCCUGCGGUUUAAUUGGACUCAACGCCGGGAAGCUCACCGGAUAGGACAGCAGAAUGAUUGCCGGGCUGAAGACUCUGCAUGACUAGCUGAGAGGAGGUGCAUGGCGUAGUCGUGU